CCAUAUAUUUAUAUAAAUAUUUUCAUGUAUAAUCUGUGAGUGUAAUCAUCGAUAUAACCUGAAAGAAGAAUGGACGGACCACAAGGCAGAGGGCAAAAUGAUGGAAUGUAACAUAGGUUGCGAUAUGUAUAUUCAACACAAAGUGGCGAUCUAACGUAUUGUCAGUGGAACGCAAAGACAGGAAGUGAUGUCAGUUGCAGACAGGAAGUGAUGCAAGAGUAUAAAAAGGAAGUUCCGGGUGAGAGGUGAAUCAGAGGGGAAGUAGAGAACUUCCUGGAACUGGCAGCAAUAGAGGUUUUUAGGUGAUAACAUGCUUGAGGUGAUGGUAGCCGUAUUAUGGACCUUGAAGAGUUGAAAUAGAUCAUUGUUUUGUGGGAUGUCUACGGUUCCAGCAACCAAUGACUGCUGAGCAAGCGGGGAUAUGGUACAUAAGACUCGUGGACUGACGGUCCGGACAGGAACCUCGCUCAGUCCGUGUUUGGACCGCGAUCCGCCAUUUAAUGACGGCUGCUCUAAGUCAACUCCAUUAAUCCAACGUGAGGAAGGGGAGUAUUUAGAAGGACACAUGGACAAUCAGCUGCCCCUCACAUCACCGG